UACGGAGGGUGCGAGCGUUAUCCGGAUUUAUUGGGUUUAAAGGGUGCGUAGGCGGAUUUUUAAGUCAGCGGUAAAAUGUCCGGGCUCAACCCGGGCCGGCCGUUGAAACUGGGGAUCUUGAGUGGGCGAGAAGUAUGCGGAAUGCGUGGUGUAGCGGUGAAAUGCAUAGAUAUCACGCAGAACUCCGAUUGCGAAGGCAGCAUACCGGCGCCCGACUGACGCUGAGGCACGAAAGCGUGGGGAUCGAACAGG
rnacentral:rRNA from 1 species